GUACUUCGUCCACAGCAAUCCCACCAAUUGGUCCCAAAAUGUCCCAAUAACAGAGUAAAUGCCGUAAACAUAUUCUUAGUAAAUCUUUACAAUAAUUCCCCAAAAGAACCAUGCAGGCCUGCCUUGUUGCAUAAUCCAAAUGUUCUUCUAAACUUACCAUUU